rnacentral:rRNA from 1 species
CCUACGGGAGACAGCAGUGGGGAAUAUUGGGCAAUGGGCGCAAGCCUGACCCAGCAACGCCGCGUGAAGGAAGAAGGCUUUCGGGUUGUAAACUUCUUUUCUCAGGGACGAAGCAAGUGCCGGUACCUGAGGACUAAGCCACGGCUAACUACGUGCCAGCAGCCGCGGUAAUACGUAGGGGGCAAGCGUUAUCCGGAUUUACUGGGUGUAAAGGGCGGGUAGGCGGCGACGCAAGUCAGAUGUGAAAACCACGGGCUCAACCUGUGGCCUGCAUUUGAAACUGUGUUUCUUGAGUACUGGAGAGGCAGGCGGAAUGCGUAGUGUAGCGGUGAAAUGCGUAGAUAUUAGGAGGAACACCAGUGGCGAAGGCGGUAUGCUGGACAGCAACUGACGCUGAGGCGCGAAAGCGUGGGGAGCGAACAGGAUUAGAUACCCCAGUAGUC